UUUUUGGUGUUAUUCUGUUUCUGUUGCAAGACUACAUUUGGGUGUGUGUGAGGAAGAUAUCUUUUAGUUUAAUAUCUUAGUUCAUUUUCUGUUGUUUGUAACAGAAUACCUGACACUGGGUUAUUUAUUUAAUAAGAAAGGUAUUUCUUACAGGUGUGGAGUCUAAGAAGUCCAAGGUUGAGGAGCUGCAUCUGAUGAGAGCCUUCUUGCUGGUUGGGAUCCUCUGCAGAGUCUUGAGUUGGGCAUUAAAAACUGUAUCACAGACACAUGAAUAUUGUGUGAGUAUUUCAAAGUAAAUUUGGAUUAAAAUUCAUCAAAUUCAUGACAUACAUGGAGUUCCCUGAAGCAUUAUUUCAUAUUUCCGGAUUUUCAAAGUGACUACAUAUUCAAGCAUGUAUAUAUACAAGCAUAGGCCUCAUCUCCAAGUAUUACCACACUGAGGGUCAAGACUUCAACAUAUGGUGGAGAGCAGGAGUUCUGGAGACUGGAAAAUCCAAAACCACGGCACCAGCAUCUGGUGAAGAUCUUUUCAUGGCAAGAGAGAAAACACAUGCAUGUCAGCUCAAAUCUCUUUCUCUUUUAAUAAUGUUGCUAGUCCCAUCAUGGAGGCCCCAGCCUUAUGACCUUAUCUAAUGCUAAUUACAUCCAAAAGGCUCCACCUCCAAUCAACAUAUGAAUUUGGAAAUUAGGUUUCCAAUACGUGAAAUUUGGGAAAUGUAUUUAAACCACAAACAGCCAGUUUAAAAGAUUUUGCAUUGAAUAAUAAAAGUGAACCAACAAAUGUAU
rnacentral:lncRNA from 1 species